AGUGUAAGCGGCUACUUAAGUCGGAUGUGAAAGCCCCGGGCUCAACCUGGGAAUUGCAUUCGAUACUGGGUAGCUAGAGUUUGGUAGAGGUAAGUGGAAUUCCAGGUGUAGCGGUGAAAUGCGUAGAUAUCUGGAGGAACAUCAGUGGCGAAGGCGGCUUACUGGACCAAAACUGACGCUGAGGCUCGAAAGCGUGGGGAGCAAACAGGAUUAGAUACCCUGGUAGUCC
rnacentral:rRNA from 1 species